rnacentral:rRNA from 1 species
UACGUAGGGUGCGAGCGUUGUCCGGAAUUAUUGGGCGUAAAGAGCGUGUAGGCGGCUUUGCAGGUCCGCUGUGAAAACUCGAGGCUCAACCUCGAGCUGUCGGUGGAAACCGUAAAGCUAGAGUCCGGAAGAGGAGAGUGGAAUUCCCGGUGUAGCGGUGAAAUGCGCAGAUAUCGGGAAGAACACCCGUGGCGAAGGCGGCUCUCUGGGACGGUACUGACGCUGAGACGCGAAAGCGUGGGGAGCGAACAGG